AUUGAACGCUGGCGGCAUGCCUUACACAUGCAAGUCGAACGGCAGCACGGGGCAACCUGGUGGCGAGUGGCGAACGGGUGAGUAAUGCAUCGGAACGCACCCGGAAGUGGGGGAUAACGUAGCGAAAGUUACGCUAAUACCGCAUAUUCUGUGCGCAGGAAAGAGGGGGAUCUUCGGACCUCUUGCUUUCGGAGCGGCCGAUGUCAGAUUAGCUAGUUGGUGAGGUAAAGGCUCACCAAGGCGACGAUCUGUAGCGGGUCUGAGAGGAUGAUCCGCCACGCUGGGACUGAGACACGGCCCAGACUCCUACGGGAGGCAGCAGUGGGGAAUUUUGGACAAUGGGCGCAAGCCUGAUCCAGCCAUGCCGCGUGAGUGAAGAAGGCCUUCGGGUUGUAAAGCUCUUUCGGCCGGGAAGAAAUCGCGUGAGUUAAUACCUUGCGUGGAUGACGGUACCGGAAUAAGAAGCACCGGCUAACUACGUGCCAGCCGCCGCGGUAAUAC
rnacentral:rRNA from 1 species